AUCACCUGGGGAGAUUGUUAAAAUGCAAAGUCAGAUUUAGUGGGUCUGGAGCCUGAGAUUCUGCAUUUCCAACAAAGUCCCAGGUGAUGCCAA
rnacentral:pre_miRNA from 1 species